rnacentral:miRNA from 1 species
GCUGGAGAAGAGGGAGG